CGAGGUGUGCACAGACCC
rnacentral:piRNA from 1 species